rnacentral:rRNA from 1 species
AUUGAACGCUGGCGGCAGGCCUAACACAUGCAAGUCGAGCGAGCGGAGGACGGGAGAGUAAUGUCUGGGAAACUGCCUGAUGGAGGGGGAUAACUACUGGAAACGGUAGCUAAUACCGCAUACCAUCAGAUGUGCCCCGAUGGGAUUAGCUUGUAGGUGGGGUAACGGCCCUACUCGGCGACGAUCCCGAGCUGGUCUGAGAGGAUGACCCGCCACACUGGAACUGAGACACGGUCCAGACUCCUACGUGAGGCAGCAGUGGGGAAUAUUGCACAAUGGGCGCAAGCCUGAUACAGCCAUGCCGCGUGUGUGAAGAAGGCCUUCGGGUUGUAAAGCACUUUCAGCGGGGAGGCGUUACCCGCAGAAGAAGCACCGGCUAACUCCGUGCCAGCAGCCGCGGUAAUUC